AAAAGUUUAAUUUGUCAAUCUAUCAGCCCUGAAAUUUUCAGACAAACCUAACAACCCAUUGUUGGGUUGCUGCCACUAAAUUGGUUAUUUUAAGGAAAUUUUGCAGUUUUUAUGCUCCAUUUAUGGGCAUUAUGUUUUCUGGUCUGUGCGUCCGUCCGUCCCUAGUCCUGCUUCAGAUUAAAUUUUUUGGUCAAGGUAGUUUUUGAUGAAGUUGAAGUCUAAUCAACUUGAAAAUUAGUAAACAUGUUCCCUAUGAUAUGAUCUUUCAAAUUUUAUUGCCAAAUAAGAGAUUUCCCCCAUUUUCACUGUCCAUUAAACAUAGAAAAUGAUAGUGCGGAUUGGGCAUCCAUGUACUUGCGACACAUUCUUGUUUGUUAUUAUCUUGAAUAUUAUUGAAGAUUAAAUAAACUAUAAACAACAAAAAUGUUCAGCAAAGUAAGAUCUUCAAAAAAGUUUUUAGAUGACCAAAAUU
rnacentral:lncRNA from 1 species